rnacentral:lncRNA from 1 species
CCUGGAGCCUCAGGAAGAAAUUGUCAGGCUGGCGGCAGACAAAGAAAGCACUCUGUCUCCAGCCAAGUGGUAACUCGGUGGCCGGUCCUCAGAGGACAAACUUCCCCACUUCAGAGGUGAAGAAACCAUGGGACAGAGGGGACAGUGACUUGCCCAAGGUCACACAGCAGGAAGAGCUUGGCCCGGGGCUUGCAGGGACCUAGCCGGAGCUGACCUGUGGCAGACCAUCAGGGUGACCUUCAACCGCAAAGCUGCUGUCCACGUGGACUGGGGCUCAGAUCGUGCGCCCAUCCGCCAGGACCCCCACAUCCAAACUCCGAGACAUGGCGACCAAUGGCAGCAAGGUGGCGCCGGGGGCAGAUCUCCACAGAAGUCAGUGAGGACCCCCUUGGCCAAGCGACAAGCCCAAAACCCUGGUGGUCAAGGUGCAGAAGAAGGCCGGGGACCUUCCCGAUCGAGAUACAUGGAAGGGCCGCUUCGACUUCCUCAUGUCCUGUGUGGGCCUACGCCAUUGGCCUGGGCAAUGUCCGGGAGGUUCCCCUACCUCUGUGGGAAGAAUGGCGGGGGGGCCUUCCUGAUCCCCUACUUCCUGGCGCUCAUCUUUGCGGGGUCCCGCUCUUUCAUGCUGGAGUGCUCCCCUGGGCCAGUACACGUCCAUCGGGGGGCUUGGGUGUGUGGAAGCUGGCCCCCCCAUGUUCAAGG